CUCUUCAUUCUUCUGCUCCAAAUGGAUACGCUCUAUUUCUUCGUAUCCCACAAACCUGUUUUCACUUGUUUCACUGCUGUCUUCUUCUUCUUCUUCUUCUUCUUCAACACUUUGGCCGAGCAAUCCUUGACACCGGAUCAAAAGUUCCAGGCAUGUGCACCAAUAACCUGUGGCAAAGGCCCCAAAAUAAGCUACCCCUUUUUCUUAUCUAACGUUCAAGACGCCUUCUGUGGCUACCCAAAUUUCGACAUCACUUGUAAGCAUGAAUACCCAGUUCUC
rnacentral:misc_RNA from 1 species